rnacentral:piRNA from 1 species
UGGGUGUAUUCUCCCUCUUUUGUGUACAGU